AACGAACGCUGGCGGCAUGCCUAACACAUGCAAGUCGAACGAAGGCUUCGGCCUUAGUGGCGCACGGGUGCGUAACGCGUGGGAAUCUGCCCCUCGGAUCGGAAUAACAGUUAGAAAUGACUGCCAAUACCGGAUGAUGACUUCGGUCCAAAGAUUUAUCGCCGAGGGAUGAGCCCGCGUAAGAUUAGGUAGUUGGUGGGGUAAAGGCCUACCAAGCCGACCAUCUUUAGCUGGUCUGAGAGGAUGAUCAGCCACACUGGGACUGAGCCACGGCCCAGACUCCUACGGGAGGCAGCAGUGGGGAAUAUUGGACAAUGGGCGAAAGCCUGAUCCAGCAAUGCCGCGUGAGUGAUGAAGGCCUUAGGGUUGUAAAGCUCUUUUACCAGGGAUGAUAAUGACAGUACCUGGAGAAUAAGCUCCGGCUAACUCCGUGCCAGCAGCCGCAGUAA
rnacentral:rRNA from 1 species